rnacentral:rRNA from 1 species
UGGGGAAUCUUGGACAAUGGGCGAAAGCCUGAUGCAGCAACGCCGCGUGCGGGAAGACAGCCCUAGGGUUGUAAACCGCUUUCAGCAGGGAAGAAACUGACGGUACCUGCAGAAGAAGGUGCGGCCAACUACGUGCCAGCAGCCGCGGUGACACGUAGGCACCAAGCGUUAUCCGGAUUUAUUGGGCGUAAAGAGCUCGUAGGCGGUUCGGUAAGUCGGGUGUGAAAAUCCAAGGCUCAACCUUGGGACGCCACCCGAUACUGCUGUGACUCGAGUGCAGUAGGGGAGCAGGGAAUUCCUGGUGUAGCGGUGAAAUGCGCAGAUAUCAGGAGGAACACCAGUGGCGAAGGCGCUGCUCUGGGCUGUAACUGACGCUGAGGAGCGAAAGCAUGGGUAGCAAAACAGGAUUAGAUACCCUGGUAGUCCAUGCCGUAAAACGUUGGGCACUAGGUGUGGGUCUCAACCAACGAGAUCCGCGCCGUCGCUAACGCAUUAAGUGCCCCGCCU